GCCGAGCAGGAGGCGCCAUCAUGGGAGUGGACAUCCGCCACAACAAGGACCGAAAGGUUCGGCGCAAGGAGCCCAAGAGCCAGGAUAUCUACCUGAGGCUGUUGGUCAAGUUAUACAGGUUUCUGGCCAGAAGAACCAACUCCACAUUCAACCAGGUUGUGUUGAAGAGGUUGUUUAUGAGUCGCACCAACCGGCCGCCUCUGUCCCUUUCCCGGAUGGUGAGUGGCUGGUCCAGAGAGCACAGUAGACCUGGGAGCCACUGGGUCUUGUCUGUCUGGAAGGGAGGCAGGACUUGGAGCUCUGGGAGCAACCGGGGCAUCAAGGGUUUGUCUCAGCCAGUCGCGAGCUUAGAGCUUGGACUGUUGGUUGGAACUGAGUGUCCAUGGGCAGUGGGCAAGGCUCCUGGUCCUCCUCUCCUUCUCUUUGUGAGGUGGAGGUGUCCUGGUGGCUUCAGGAGAUUGCCCCAAGUCAUAACUGAGGUUUAUGUUAAAGGCCCUGCCGAGGGAGGCCCUAUUGAACAGUCUGCAUUUUUUUUUUUUAUCUGGAGCUUUCCCCAGCUGGAUCUGAGGAGAGGCCUGUGGGGUUUAAGGGGUGUGGUGUGAGUGGGGGGGUCCCGUUAGAGGGCACAGCUGCCCUGGUCUGGGGAUGCCUCAAGUGGGGCUGAAUGUAAACACCAGAACGACUUACGAUGUACAUCCUCCCCGCCCUAAGAUCCGGAAGAUGAAGCUUCCUGGCCGGGAAAACAAAACAGCCGUGGUUGUGGGGACCAUAACGGAUGACGUGCGGGUUCAGGAGGUGCCCAAACUGAAGGUGAGCUGGCGGGGGCUAGGCAGACCCAUCAGAUCCUUGCUGUGCUGUGCUGUGCUGGUCCAUCCUUAGUCUUGCCACCGCUGGUGAGGCAAGCAUCCUGCCUGUCUGAGUGGCUUUGAGGAUUGGUGUGGGUCGUCUCUGGCAUUGUUGAUGGUGGGGUCCCCUGGGCAAGCUUCUUCUGGGGCAAGUUGUAAGCUGUUAGUGCUGGCCCCUAGAGCCAGACAGCCUGGGCUCAAGUCUAGACUCCUUUGUCACCUCUGAACAAGUCAUUUUUUUGGCCCAGCCUACUUGCUGUUGUUUGUAGCAUAACACUAGGGAUGUGGUGUUAAAAGUUCCUAGAGAUAAAGUGUUGAGAACAGCUGCUGUCAGCCCAGGGUGCUCCAGGUAAUAAAUGAUAGUGUUGGUUACCAGGGCUCUGCUGUGCCAAGGCAGUGGAGGGUGAGUCCUGUCAGCCCCUGGGUGACCACGCAGGGGUCUGACCCGCCAGCCUUGUCCUUUCCACCAGGUAUGUGCACUGCGCGUGACCAGCCGGGCCCGCAGCCGCAUCCUCAGGGCAGGGGGCAAGAUCCUCACUUUCGACCAGCUGGCCCUGGACUCCCCUAAGGGCUGCGGCACUGUCCUGCUCUCCGGUCCUCGCAAGGGCCGAGAGGUGUACCGGCAUUUCGGCAAGGCCCCAGGAACCCCGCACAGCCACACCAAACCCUACGUCCGCUCCAAGGGCCGGAAGUUCGAGCGUGCCAGAGGCCGACGGGCCAGCCGAGGCUACAAAAACUAACCCUGGAUCCUGCUCUCUUAUUAAAACGAUUUUGAAUGCUGACAGUC
rnacentral:sRNA from 1 species